AGAUACAAGUGCUACACAACCCAAUGAUCCCACUGGUAACAGUAGAUUUUCUGAAUGGGAAAUAGCUGCUUCAAUAACUGGAGUUGUGGUUUUAAUGUCAGUGGUGAUAACCAUCUACUUUUGGAGACAAAGAUAUAAAAGAAACAGAUAUAACAGUAAAAGAAAUAAAG